UGGGUUGUGGCUCAGUGGAGGAGUGCUUGCCUAGUAUGUGUGAGGUACUGAGUUCGAUUCUCAGCACCGUAU
rnacentral:tRNA from 1 species